rnacentral:rRNA from 1 species
UACAGAGGUCUCAAGCGUUGUUCGGAUUCAUUGGGCGUAAAGGGUGUGUAGGUGGCGCCGUAAGUCGGGUGUGAAAUUUCGGAGCUUAACUCCGAAACUGCAUUCGAUACUGCGGUGCUUGAGGACUGGAGAGGAGACUGGAAUUCAUGGUGUAGCAGUGAAAAUGCGUAGAGAUCAUGAGGAAGACCAGUGGCGAAGGCGGGGUCUCUGGACAGUUCCUGACACUGAGACACGAAGGCCAGGGGAGCAAAACGGGG